rnacentral:rRNA from 1 species
AGAACGAACGCUGGCGGCAGGCCUAACACAUGCAAGUCGAACGUGAAGCCACCUUCGGGUGGUGGAAAGUGGCAGACGGGUGAGUAACGCGUGGGAAUCUACCCAAUGGUACGGAAUAACUCAGGGAAACUUGAGCUAAUACCGUAUGUGCCCGAAAGGGGAAGAUUUAUCGCCAUUGGAUGAGCCCGCGUCUGAUUAGCUAGUUGGUGGGGUAAUGGCCCACCAAGGCGACGAUCAGUAGCUGGUCUGAGAGGAUGAUCAGCCACACUGGGACUGAGACACGGCCCAGACUCCUACGGGAGGCAGCAGUGGGGAAUAUUGGACAAUGGGCGCAAGCCUGAUCCAGCCAUGCCGCGUGAGUGAUGAAGGCCCUAGGGUUGUAAAGCUCUUUCGACGGGGACGAUAAUGACGGUACCCGUAGAAGAAGCCCGGCUAACUUCGUGCCAGCAGCCGC